CUGCUCCCUUUGGCAGCACAUAUAAUAAAACUGGAACAAUAUAGAAAUUAGCAUGGCCCCUGCACAAGGAUGAUAUGCAAAUUGAAGAAGCAUUUCAUAUUUUU